rnacentral:lncRNA from 1 species
UUUUUUUUUUUUUUGGUAAGACUGGAUUUCGUGGUGUAUGCCUGACUGUCUGUUCUUGAGCUAAGAGAUCCAUCUGUUUCUGCCUCCUGAACUCUGGGAUUAAAAGCAUAUGCCACCAUGCCUGGUGUGUAUAUUUCUUUUAAAGUAAUCUACUAGUAGAAUUUUAACCAAAAAGUAAAGCUAUGCUUUGAAAACAAUGUGCUGUUUGGGGUAUGUUUUGGACCCUUACAGUUUUAUAAGAUAAUGUCAGAAAGUUUAUCUACUAUUCUUGCCAAGUUUCUCGUCUGUCAGAUUCCAUAAAUGGCUUUAGAAGACGUGAGAAAGAUGAGGGACUGGCAGAGCUAUUGGAAAGUGAAAGGGCUGCUUAUAAGCUUUCUUCUUUCAGUUGAGGUGGCCAGGAAAACCAAGGACACAGUGGCCAUCUGUGUUGUCUACACUAGAUGACUUUCUUUGCCUCUGCCUUGACACUUUACACAUUCCUGCUUAACUUUUGUGAGUUGGUUCUCUUCUAUCAUAUGGGUCAUGUCAUUCAGGUCAUUAGCUUGGUAACCAGUACCUUUCCCCUUCAGCCACCUUGCUGGCUCACAUGCUCUUGGGUUUUUGUUUUGUGUUGUUGUUGUUGCUCGUGGAACAGCAAGGCUGGACUCAGAACAGCACUUUUAUGGUUCCUACCGUUCCCUUGGUCUGUUAUGUCUGUCUGUCAAUCCUGUGGUCGUGAAAGUAGUCCAUACUUCUGAAUAAUUUUUUUUUUAAUUUAUAUGGCUCAACAGAAAAAUCUAUAAUGGAACCCAAGUUUCAUAAUGAAAACUAACUCACAGUGUGUCUUGUUAGCUCAGCAGGCACUAAUAGUAAGGUAUUCAGGAGGACUACAUAUAGGUCUGCAGGGAGCUGCCAGUCUCAUUUUGAUUGUGGAAAACCAUCUUUGGUAGAGGAGACUUCCCGAGAAGUAGACUUCAUGUUUUCUUACCCACCUGUGUCCUCUUUCAGAGCCAUCCAGAAAUGGGGUUGGUGACAGCCCCUGCCAGCCCUACUCCUACAACCCCAGCCACACCCCUUGGGACUACACCGCCCUCCUCUGACGGUGAGGCCACCACUUUUAUUAUUGUGUUCUUGAUUAAUAUGAUUUUAGAUCUUUCUCUCUCUUUUUAGUUCGUUUGUUUUCAAGACAGAGUUUCUCUGUAUAGCCCUGGCUGUUCUGGAACUCACUCUAUAGACCAGACUGGCUUCAAAAUCAGAGAUCUGCCUGCCUCUGCUUUCUGGGCGCUGGGAUUAAAGGCGUACGCCACCACUGCCUGGCUGAUUCUAGAUCGCUCAGGGUUAAGCACAGCUGUGUUGAGCAAAGAAUACAUUUAUUAAUUCUUUUAAUUGUUCUUUUAAUUUGUGUAAGUGGGUAAUUAGUGUUGGUGUACAUCUGUAAUCCCAGCUACUUGAAGGCUGAAGUAGAAGGAUUAUAAAUUCAAGGUCUGCUUGGUCUACUUGGUCAACUUUAAAUUUAAGAAGGGAUGGGGGUAUAAUGUAGUGAUAGAGCUUGCUCAUCAUGCAUGAGCCCUAGGUUUAAUCCCCAAGAGGGAGGAGAAAAAGCUGGGAAAGAG